rnacentral:rRNA from 1 species
GAUGAACGCUGGCGGCGUGCCUAAUACAUGCAAGUCGAGCGAACGGACGAGAAGCUUGCUUCUCUGAUGUUAGCGGCGGACGGGUGAGUAACACGUGGAUAACCUACCUAUAAGACUGGGAUAACUUCGGGAAACCGGAGCUAAUACCGGAUAAUAUUUUGAACCGCAUGGUUCAAAAGUGAAAGACGGUCUUGCUGUCACUUAUAGAUGGAUCCGCGCUGCAUUAGCUAGUUGGUAAGGUAACGGCUUACCAAGGCAACGAUGCAUAGCCGACCUGAGAGGGUGAUCGGCCACACUGGAGCUGAGACACGGUCCAGACUCCUACGGGAGGCAGCAGUAGGGAAUCUUCCGCAAUGGGCGAAAGCCUGACGGAGCAACGCCGCGUGAGUGAUGAAGGUCUUCGGAUCGUAAAACUCUGUUAUUAGGGAAGAACAUAUGUGUAAGUAACUGUGCACAUCUUGACGGUACCUAAUCAGAAAGCCACGGCUAACUACGUGCCAGCAGCCGCGGUAAUACGUAGGUGGCAAGCGUUAUCCGGAAUUAUUGGGCGUAAAGCGCGCGUAGGCGGUUUUUUAAGUCUGAUGUGAAAGCCCACGGCUCAACCGUGGAGGGUCAUUGGAAACUGGAAAACUUGAGUGCAGAAGAGGAAAGUGGAAUUCCAUGUGUAGCGGUGAAAUGCGCAGAGAUAUGGAGGAACACCAGUGGCGAAGGCGACUUUCUGGUCUGUAACUGACGCUGAUGUGCGAAAGCGUGGGGAUCAAACAGGAUUAGAUACCCUGGUAGUCCACGCCGUAAACGAUGAGUGCUAAGUGUUAGGGGGUUUCCGCCCCUUAGUGCUGCAGCUAACGCAUUAAGCACUCCGCCUGGGGAGUACGACCGCAAGGUUGAAACUCAAAGGAAUUGACGGGGACCCGCACAAGCGGUGGAGCAUGUGGUUUAAUUCGAAGCAACGCGAAGAACCUUACCAAAUCUUGACAUCCUUUGACAACUCUAGAGAUAGAGCCUUCCCCUUCGGGGGACAAAGUGACAGGUGGUGCAUGGUUGUCGUCAGCUCGUGUCGUGAGAUGUUGGGUUAAGUCCCGCAACGAGCGCAACCCUUAAGCUUAGUUGCCAUCAUUAAGUUGGGCACUCUAAGUUGACUGCCGGUGACAAACCGGAGGAAGGUGGGGAUGACGUCAAAUCAUCAUGCCCCUUAUGAUUUGGGCUACACACGUGCUACAAUGGACAAUACAAAGGGCAGCGAAACCGCGAGGUCAAGCAAAUCCCAUAAAGUUGUUCUCAGUUCGGAUUGUAGUCUGCAACUCGACUACAUGAAGCUGGAAUCGCUAGUAAUCGUAGAUCAGCAUGCUACGGUGAAUACGUUCCCGGGUCU